UGGGGAAUAUUGCACAAUGGGCGCAAGCCUGAUGCAGCCAUGCCGCGUGUGUGAAGAAGGCCUUCGGGUUGUAAAGCACUUUCAGCGAGGAGGAAGGUGGUGAACUUAAUACGUUCAUCAAUUGACGUUACUCGCAGAAGAAGCACCGGCUAACUCCGUGCCAGCAGCCGCGGUAAUACGGAGGGUGCAAGCGUUAAUCGGAAUUACUGGGCGUAAAGCGCACGCAGGCGGUUUGUUAAGUCAGAUGUGAAAUCCCCGGGCUCAACCUGGGAACUGCAUUUGAAACUGGCAAGCUAGAGUCUCGUAGAGGGGGGUAGAAUUCCAGGUGUAGCGGUGAAAUGCGUAGAGAUCUGGAGGAAUACCGGUGGCGAAGGCGGCCCCCUGGACGAAGACUGGCGCUCAGGUGCGAAAGCGUGGGGAGCAAAACAGGAUUAGAUACCCUGGUAGUCCACGCUGUAAACGAUGUCGAUUUGGAGGUUGUGCCCUUGAGGCGUGGCUUCCGGAGCUAACGCGUUAAAUCGACCGCCUGGGGAGUACGGCCGCAAGGUUAAAACUCAAAGGAAUUGACGGGGUCAUAGCUGUUUCCU
rnacentral:rRNA from 1 species